UACGAAGGGGGCUAGCGUUGCUCGGAAUCACUGGGCGUAAAGCGCACGUAGGCGGAUCGUUAAGUCAGGGGUGAAAUCCUGGAGCUCAACUCCAGAACUGCCUUUGAUACUGGCGAUCUUGAGUCCGGGAGAGGUGAGUGGAACUGCGAGUGUAGAGGUGAAAUUCGUAGAUAUUCGCAAGAACACCAGUGGCGAAGGCGGCUCACUGGCCCGGUACUGACGCUGAGGCGCGAAAGCGUGGGGAGCAAACAGGG
rnacentral:rRNA from 1 species